rnacentral:lncRNA from 1 species
GAAUAGCUAGAAUUACUUUCUUGGGUAGCAGUGUCGUCAUCUACCACCAAACAAAUGUUAGCUUCUUCGUCAAACUUGCUCAAAUCAAAAAUUGUUUCAUUGUCAUCCUCUCAUGCAAUGUAGGCCUUCUUUUUCUUGAAGUUUUUCUUUUCUUUCUUAUUUUCGCCCUUCUUUUGAUUUGGGCAAUAAGCUUUUAGAUGCCCCUUCUCUCCACAACCGUAGCAUCAGUAAUUUGAGGAAGAUCCUUGAUUUCCUCUCUUUUCAUAUCUAAAUCUCUCUUUACCUUUUGAUUUCAUGAACCUGUUUAACCUUUUGAUCACAAGACUUAAAUUUUCUUCAUCCUCCGAGUCUUCAUCUUCUAUCCUGCUUUUGCUCCUUUCAACCUCGGAUUUGAAAGUCAGUGUCUUUUUCUUAGUUUUGGCUUCUUCUUCAUCAAGUCUUCCAAGAUCAAGCUCAUGCUCCCUCAACUUUUCGAAUAGUGCCGC